UAAAUUAAUAGCAUAUCAGGAU
rnacentral:snRNA from 1 species